GAUGAACGCUGGCGGCGUGCCUAAUACAUGCAAGUCGAGCGAACGGAUGAGGAGCUUGCUCCUCUGACGUUAGCGGCGGACGGGCGAGUAACACGUGGAUAACCUACCUAUAAGACUGGGAUAACUUCGGGAAACCGGAGCUAAUACCGGAUAAUAUAUUGAACCGCAUGGUUCAAUAGUGAAAGACGGUUUUGCUGUCACUUAUAGAUGGAUCCGCGCCGCAUUAGCUAGUUGGUAAGGUAACGGCUUACCAAGGCAACGAUGCGUAGCCGACCUGAGAGGGUGAUCGGCCACACUGGCACUGAGACACGGUCCAGACUCCUACGGGAGGCAGCAGUAGGGAAUCUUCCGCAAUGGGCGAAAGCUUGACGGAGCAACGCCGCGUGAGUGAUGAAGGUCUUCGGAUCGUAAAACUCUGUUAUUAGGGAAGAACAAAUGUGUAAGUAACUGUGCACGUCUUGACGGUACCUAAUCAGAAAGCCACGGCUAACUACGUG
rnacentral:rRNA from 1 species